UCGGGAAUUUUGGGCAAUGGGCGAAAGCCUGACCCAGCAACGCCGCGUGAAGGAUGAAGUAUUUCGGUAUGUAAACUUCGAAAGAAUAGGAAGAAUAAAUGACGGUACUAUUUAUAAGGUCCGGCUAACUACGUGCCAGCAGCCGCGGUAAUACAGAGGUGGCAAGCGUUGUUCGGAAUUACUGGGCGUAAAGCGCGUGUAGGCGGCUCUUCAAGUCAGGCGUGAAAGCCCCAGGCUCAACCUGGGAAAUGCGUUUGAUACUGUCGAGCUAGAGUGUGGAAGGGGCGAUUGGAAUUCCGUGUGUAGCGGUGAAAUGCGUAGAUAUACGGAGGAACACCAGAGGCGAAGGCGGAUCGCUGGGCCAACACUGACGCUGAGACGCGAAAGCUAGGGUAGCAAACGGGAUUAGAUACCCUUGUAGUCCCUGAGCGGGCUGGCAAGGCGCAU
rnacentral:rRNA from 1 species